rnacentral:misc_RNA from 1 species
AGUAUCCAAGCCUGCCCUCUAAAGUCUGAGCUUAUAAAGGCCUCAGGCCAGUUGCAUCAAAUACAAAAUUCCUUUACCAAGCUCCAUCAAGUUGAGUGGGUCCCCAGACAAGUGACCAGGUCUAGUGGGAUUUCAUGUUUGUUGAGUCUACUAAUGGAACAGCAUGAAGUUGUCUUUUGUUUCCAUCAGAAAAUAGCAUAGAGGAUGGCAACUAGAGAUCGGUAUUCGACCAAGAAAUUACAUAUGAUCAAUUUAUGGUGUCAUUAAGUAAACUGGUAAUUGAUAGCUUGAUUAUCACCUAUGAGGUUUAAAUUAGGUCUAUGAGAAAGUAACAAAUUGUAUUAUGAUAGUUCAAGG